AAGCCUGGGGACGAUGCAGACCCCACCAUUGUGACCUCAUCUAAACCCAGUCACGCCCACCACCCAGAGCCUCAUCCCCAGGUACCAUCAGUAUGUGACCUGGGGGAUUAACGUCCCACCACAUGAACCUCUGGGGACACAUCCACAAAGCAGCAGCAGGCCCCUGCCGGCCUCUGCUUCCCAGUGACCCCUCGUCCUCACCCCUGCAAGGCCUCUGCCCAUGCCAGGGAACCUCCCAGCAGUUCAUGGCUUCACACAUCAGGUCCCCCGGGCAGUGGCCCUCAGGGACAUUAAAAGCCCCCUGCCUGGACACCAAGUUGCAGGUUCCAACUCCCCGACUGUACAGGUUACAUGCUAUGACACUAUGGCAGCAGGUAAAGGCAGGGCCUCAGGUGUGCUGGGUGGCAGGAGCCCACCCCAGGCCACCUGCAGGCUCUCAGUCUCUUUAAGAACAUCUGUGACCUACAGACUACCAAGCGAUACAAAAAUUCAAAGAAAGAUGAGACCUACAGACAACAUCCUAUUUAAUGCUGAGACACUUCCCUGCCCCUCUAAGCCUGAGAACAUGAGGAGGGGAAGGGAAGGCGUGCACAGGGUGGCUGCUCAGCCGGGAGAGGGACCACACAAGGGUGAAGGUGACCGUGCUGACCUCCCGCUUUGAGGAAGAAACAACACAGAGAACAAGACUCAGAAAUACAAUCUGAUUCUGAAAAAAUUACACCAGACAAAGCACUGGAGCGGGGCUGAGGUUGACGGCCACAGGGAAGAGGGAAGAAGAGGAGAAGCCCUGUCUGCCCACCAUCGCCCCCUCCAAGGCCCCGAAAGAGCAAAGAAUAGAGACAACAGCACAGAAAGAGGACAAAGCAGAAGGCAGGGCUACUGGACAGGGGAAGUAGCCAGACCUCGGCAGCUCAGAGGAGGCCAGGGGUGCUCUCAGAAGGGGACACAGCCAAGUCCCAAACCCACUGUUCCUCCUUCAGCAGCCCAUGCCAGAUGACCCAUGACAGCCCCAUUUGUGCCUGCUCUACCCCCCACAUCAGGAGGCCAUGGCCUCAUUCUCUGAAGAAACCAAAGUAUAGACAAACCUCUGACACAUGGUGGGUUUAGUUCCAGACCACCGUAAUAAAGUGAAUAUCAAAAGCGAGGUAUAGGAAUUGCUUGACUUCCCAGUGCACAUAAAAGUUAUGCUUAUACUAUACUGUAUCUAUUAA
rnacentral:lncRNA from 1 species